GGGAAGGUGGCUCAGUGAUAGAGUGCUUGCCUUGCAUGCAUGAGGCCCUUGGUUAAAUUCCUCAGCAUCCCA
rnacentral:tRNA from 1 species